GGGCCGGUAGCUCAGCCUGGAAGAGUGCUCGGCUCGCAACCGAGAGGUCCCGGGUUCAAAUCCCGGCCGGUCCA
rnacentral:tRNA from 2 species